AAAGUAAUGUUUAAAAUGUACAGUAGGUGGCGGUCUCUGGUCGCUUCAGUAUCCACAAAGACAAACGAAGGAGAACAGGCAUAAAAGUGUGGUCUCUCACGCGGGCGGGCCUCAGUCGAUCCAUCUUCAAAACGCGGAUGUGCUGAAAUGAGCGGCUGGAAGAUCACACCAGAAGAAGAGGAACCUUAAGCUACAUUAACUUGCUGCUUUUUUGCUGUAUGUUGUGUUUGUUUAUUCAUAGGGAUAAGUUAAAACAUUCACUUAACUUUGUAGUCAAACAAUAAAUUAUGAUCUGUCUAGUAUACAAUUUCAUAACUGUGGUUUCAAUGCUGUGAAAAAAAUAAAAUGGCGAAAAUGCA
rnacentral:lncRNA from 1 species